AUUGAACGCUGGCGGAAUGCUUUACACAUGCAAGUCGAACGGUAGAGGGGGCAACCCCUCGAGAGUGGCGAACGGGUGAGUAAUAUAUCGGAACGUGCCCAGCCGUGGGGGAUAACGUAGCGAAAGUUACGCUAAUACCGCAUACGAUCUAAGGAUGAAAGCGGGGGAUCGCAAGACCUCGCGCGAUUGGAGCGGCGGAUAUCAGAUUAGGUCGUUGGUGGGGUAAAGGCUAACCAAGCCAACGAUCUGUGGCUGGUCGGAGAGGACGACCAGCCACACUGGAACUGAGACGCGGUCCAGACUCCUACGGGAGGCAGCAGUGGGGAAUUUUGGACAAUGGACGCAAGUCUGAUCCAGCCAUUCCGCGUGCAGGAUGAAGGCCCUCGGGUUGUAAACUGCUUUUGUACGGAACGAAAAGGUCUCUCUUAAUACGGGGGACUCAUGACGGUACCGUAAGAAUAAGCACCGGCUAACUACGUGCCAGCCGCCGCCGUAACAC
rnacentral:rRNA from 1 species